UUUAGUGCUGCGGGCUGGGGACAUAGGUUUGGAUGGGGCUCCCAGGAGUUAAGGUUUUCUUCCCAUCUUUGACGUGCUGUGGGAUGGUGGAUUCCAUGUUACGAUCCUGUUGGCUGACUCCUCCCGUGGGAGACAAAUUCCUCUGAGCUGUGGCGCGUUCCCGAGGAUGACUGGGCUGUGGAGAAAUGCUUCGUUCUCUUCAGCAGACAGACUUGUUUUUCUCAAGCGUCGGGGGCGGGGUAGCACGGCAAUGACGUCGCUUUGCUCCGACUCUCCCUCCUUCCUCCCUGAGACUGAGGAGUCAUGAAACCUCGGUUAAACUGCGUGAAAACCCAAACAUCCCAGCCUGGGCCGGGAUGACCAGGAGCAGCGGGAGCAGCAGGAUGACCAGGAUGAACCUCAGCUCAUUUAUCCAUUCAGCUACCGAAGACGUAUUGGUUGCUUCCAGAUCUUGGCAAUGAUGAGAAAAGCUGCUGUGAGCAUCCGUGUGCAAGAAUUUGUGUGGACAUGUUUCCAGCUCAUUUGAAUAAAUACCAAGGAAUGGAGUUGAUUGCUGGAACACUUGGUCACGGCGCCAUCGGGAGUUGUGCUCAGAGCCAUUUUUCUAGGAGCAGUGACAGGUUUUGCUGACUCAGGUGCAAUGGAGCAACAUCUGACAGGGCUAGCCAGCUGCACAGAUACAGCCUGUGGUGCUGGAAAGGCUCUUCUUUGUCUGAAGUCCCUGAUCUAAGCAAUUAUUCAACCUGAGACUGAUCGCUUCCUGCUUGAGUUCACACUGAACUCUGCUGACCCAGUUUCACCAAUCCUGAGUAGCCCUGUCCAUACCUCGUUCACUGGGUGUGCAAGGCUGCUGUGCACCCGGUGGCUGCUGCAGAUGUGCACUUGCUUCUGCAUUCCAGCCUGUGCUCUCUGCCAGGCUCCAGCUGCCCUCCCUCUCAGGGCAGGCCCCAGCCUUGCCUCACCCGAGGGAGACCUCCCUGCUGCCCACUGAAAGAGCUUUCUUUCUUCUCUGGGGCUCUCUCGCCUCCUUUUUGUUCGGGCUUUUAUUUUAAGUGUGUGGUGAGCUCCCCAGACCGUGGAGAUCAAAGCAGGAGGCCUGUGUCUUUGUUCUGAUAAUGUAUGUACAUGAGCAAGUUGGGUGAGGAGCCGUGGGGCUCAGCAUUCCUGUCACAGACACAGCAGUGCUGUGCUGAGGCUGAUGACCACCGUGGACACCCCUGUUCCCCAAGUUACUGCCUCAGUUUACCCGAGGCAAUUUGAUUUGGAGCAUUUUAAUUUGGCUCUGGGUUUACUUAUUUAGAAGGACCACAGACAGGUUUGCUGCUGUCUCUGGUUGAAAGUGGCAGAUUAAUCGUGUGUCUUUCUUGAUUUCCUCUGAAUCAUCACAAAAUCACAGUGAAUGGAUGCAGAAAGGUAUAAAUCCAGAGGGAUGUGGACAACAGCAGACCAGACUUGACAACAGAAUUUUGGAAAAUGGGUAGUAUGUGGCUUGGCAGAAUGGAUCAGCUGAGAACUAUGGGCCAGCGAGUGUGCACACGUGUGCAUGUGUGUGCGCGUAUGUGUGCGUGUGUGUGGUGGGUAAGGGGAUCAUAAAAAGGAAAUUUAAGGUUGUUGCAGGUCCUGUUGGUGCACAACCAACCCUUACUGACAGGCACAGAACAGCAUCCUCCGGGAUUCUGUGCCCAGGAACCCAGACAGGGCAGGGUGGGGCUGGCUUGUCGCUGCCCCUCUGCGUCUGGGCCUUAACUGGGGAGACCCAGGGUGUUGAUCGGAGCUCCUCACAGGGGGCAUGGGCUUCCACCCAGCACGGCGGCUGAGGUCUCAGAGGAGGGUUCCAGAGCCACCUGGCAGAGGCUGCUUGGCCUUCUGCGGCUCAGCCUCAGGAGCCCCACAGCCUGGCCUCUGCCAUACUCUGUUGAGGAAGUGGUCAUGAGCCCGCCCGGUUGAAGAGAAAGGUCCAUAGAUGCUCACCUCUCAAGGUGAGGGUACCGAGAACUUCGGAGCCACACCAAACCCCAGGGCACUUGGCAUCAGAGGUGCCACGUCGCUGAAGCGAGGGGGCCUACUCUUAGGAGGACUGACUCAGGGAGGCUCUGAGCCUGGAAACCCCAGCCAGAGCGAGGACGGAGAACUCAGACUGAAAACAGAUGAAUCAAGAAAAAUCUGCUUUCUGGGCAGUCAGCCGUUCCCGCUUUCCCCUCAGCUGCAUGCCGAUUGUGCUGUGUGGGCUGAAUGUAGGAGUUUUCUCCAGCGAGACUGACCAACCAGAGAAAAGACGGACAGGACCCACAUCUGGGGGUCGUGCAGGGACACAGUCAGGCACCCACCUGAUCAGCCGACAGGCAGACAAGCAGAUGACAAGCCCCACUCACCCACACUGAGCUUCCAGCCAGCCAACCGGGGCCUUAAGUAUGGGCAGGAUGUGCCCAGACCCCUGGGCAUCGGGGCCUCUGUCGGGCAUGACAGACACAAACGACAACGGACAGAAGGGGCUCAGGGAGAGGGGGACGGUGCAGAAAAGAAGGACACAUCCACGGAACAGUAAUGCGAUGGAGAAGGGGGCAUUCGGAAUAAGUGAAAGAGCUCUAAGAAGUUAACAUUAUGUUGAAGAAGAAAAAAAGUCCAAUUGAAUUGGGGAAAAUAGCGUAGAGGAAAUCUCGCAGGAAGUGGGAGAGAAAGACGAAGGCGGGCACAGAGGGAGAUAAAGCGUUAACGGAGGCGGUACAAGGUCUGACCAGCAGGAGCUACAGAGGAGGAAAGAGGCGAGGACGUCGUCAGAAACAUUCACCAAAACAGGAGACAGGACAGGAGAUUCUAGGCUGAAGGAGCCACCAAGGGCUUAGCACAGCGGUGACAAAAAGACCCCAUCCAUGCAUGCUGCUGUGAAACUCGGGACAUCAGGGAAAGAGAAGAAGCUAGAAGCUUCUAGAGAGAGAGAAAAAAACAGGUCACGGGCGAGGCUUUACGAUGAGCCAGAUACCAGCCCCCUCCUCUGCAGCACGGGGAGUGGGCCUGGCGGAGCGAUG